UGAAUUCUAGUAAAUAUCCUAUACUUGGACUGAUUGCCAAAGAUGUACUAGCUAUGCCAGUGUCCACAGUUGCUUCAGAAUCUGCAUUUAGCACCGGGGGUAGAAUUCUUAAUAAUUAUAGGAGUUCUCUUACUCCAAAAACAGUUGAGGCUUUAAUUUGUGCACAAGAUUGGUUUCGAUCCUCUCCAUUAGCAACUGACAUUGAAGAACUUGUGGCAGAAUUUGAAAAGAUUGAGCUAGAACUAUUGCCAACUACACAACGCACUGAAGACGACUCUGGUGCUGAGUCAGAUUGAUUUGGCAUAACUUGUUGCUGCUGUUUUGGGGUUGUUGGUCUCUCAUUUUAAGUGCCUUUCAUUGGGAUCAAACAAUCAGCUUUGGAAAAAUAAUUUAGCAAGAUGGAGCUUAGUUUUGCACUCAAUUGUAGGGUGCAUUUUAUUAAGACUAUUAUUUUCGGAUUUCAUUUCUUGAGAGAGUGGAACUUUUUGGUUAAUUGUUAUUGAUCUUAAUUUUGUGUUUCGUAUGGUUUUGUAAGACAUAUAAAUAUUUGGAUAAUUUUUCUUGAAUGGUUACUACUUUGUUUGCUUAUAAGGCUACUAUAUUAUU